rnacentral:rRNA from 1 species
AUUGAACGCUGGCGGCAUGCCUUACACAUGCAAGUCGAACGGCAGCACGGGAGCAAUCCUGGUGGCGAGUGGCGAACGGGUGAGUAAUAUAUCGGAACGUGCCCGGUCGUGGGGGAUAACGUAGCGAAAGCUACGCUAAUACCGCAUACGAUCUACGGAUGAAAGCGGGGGAUCGCAAGACCUCGCGCGAUUGGAGUGGCCGAUAUCAGAUUAGGUAGUUGGUGAGGUAAAGGCUCACCAAGCCGACGAUCUGUAGCUGGUCUGAGAGGACGACCAGCCACACUGGGACUGAGACACGGCCCAGACUCCUACGGGAGGCAGCAGUGGGGAAUUUUGGACAAUGGGCGCAAGCCUGAUCCAGCAAUGCCGCGUGCAGGAUGAAGGCCUUCGGGUUGUAAACUGCUUUUGUACGGAACGAAACGGUGAGCUCUAAUACAGUUUGCUAAUGACGGUACCGUAAGAAUAAGCACCGGCUAACUACGUG